UACAGAGGUGGCAAGCGUUGUUCGGAAUUACUGGGCGUAAAGGGCGCGUAGGCGGUUCGUUAAGUCCUGUGUGAAAUCCCCCGGCUCAACUGGGGAACUGCACAGGAAACUAGCGGGCUUGAGUUCGGGAGAGGGGAGCGGAAUUCCGGGUGUAGCGGUGAAAUGCGUAGAUAUCCGGAGGAACACCGGUGGCGAAGGCGGCUUCCUGGACCGACACUGACGCUGAGGCGCGAAGGUCAGGGGAGCAAACGGG
rnacentral:rRNA from 1 species